rnacentral:misc_RNA from 1 species
AAGUCGUAACAAGGUUUCCGUAGGUGAACCUGCGGAAGGAUCAUUACCGAGUGAGGGCCCUCUGGGUCCAACCUCCCACCCGUGUUUAUCGUACCUUGUUGCUUCGGCGGGCCCGCCGAAGACACCAUUGAACGCUGUCUGAAGAUUGCAGUCUGAGCAAUUAGCUAAAUAAGUUAAAACUUUCAACAACGGAUCUCUUGGUUCUG